rnacentral:rRNA from 1 species
GAUGAACGCUGGCGGCGUGCCUAAUACAUGCAAGUCGAGCGAACAGACGAGGAGCUUGCUCCUCUGAUGUUAGCGGCGGACGGGUGAGUAACACGUGGAUAACCUACCUAUAAGACUGGGAUAACUUCGGGAAACCGGAGCUAAUACCGGAUAAUAUAUUGAACCGCAUGGUUCAAUAGUGAAAGACGGUUUUGCUGUCACUUAUAGAUGGAUCCGCGCCGCAUUAGCUAGUUGGUAAGGUAACGGCUUACCAAGGCAACGAUGCGUAGCCGACCUGAGAGGGUGAUCGGCCACACUGGAACUGAGACACGGUCCAGACUCCUACGGGAGGCAGCAGCAGGGAAUCUUCCGCAAUGGGCGAAAGCCUGACGGAGCAACGCCGCGUGAGUGAUGAAGGUCUUCGGAUCGUAAAACUCUGUUAUUAGGGAAGAACAAAUGUGUAAGUAACUAUGCACGUCUUGACGGUACCUAAUCAGAAAGCCACGGCUAACUACGUG